rnacentral:rRNA from 1 species
AGAGCGAACGCUGGCGGCAGGCCUAACACAUGCAAGUCGAACGGACCCUUCGGGGUUAGUGGCGGACGGGUGAGUAACACGUGGGAACGUGCCUUUAGGUUCGGAAUAGCUCCUGGAAACGGGUGGUAAUGCCGAAUGUGCCCCUCGGGGGAAAGAUUUAUCGCCUUUAGAGCGGCCCGCGUCUGAUUAGCUUGUCGGUGAGGUAAUGGCUCACCAAGGCUACGAUCAGUAGCUGGUCUGAGAGGAUGACCAGCCA